rnacentral:rRNA from 1 species
UACGUAGGGUGCAAGCGUUGUCCGGAAUUAUUGGGCGUAAAGAGCUCGUAGGCGGUUUGUCGCGUCUGCUGUGAAAACUCGGGGCUUAACUCCGGGCCUGCAGUGGGUACGGGCAGACUAGAGUGUGGUAGGGGAGACUGGAAUUCCUGGUGUAGCGGUGAAAUGCGCAGAUAUCAGGAAGAACACCCGUGGCGAAGGCGGCGCUCUGGGACGGUACUGACGCUGAGGCGCGAAAGCGUGGGGAGCAAACAGG